rnacentral:tRNA from 1 species
CAACCAGCUGGCCCGGCGGGAACAGGCUGUCGUUGAAGGCGUUGGCCAGAAACACCGCCGGCUGGUUGGCGUUGAUCUCGUCGAUGCUGGCCGC